rnacentral:tRNA from 1 species
AAAAUUUUAAGUUAAAAAAACUUUAAACCUUCAAAGUUUAAUAUAUAUAUCAUAAUAUAAAUUUU